rnacentral:misc_RNA from 1 species
AACGCACAUUGCGCCCUUUGGAAUUCCGAAGGGCAUGCCUGUUCGAGCGUCAUUGCACCCCUCAAGCAUUGCUUGGUAUUGGGCUUCGCCCCUGUGGCGGUCCAGGGAGACUUCAAGCGUAUCUAGAUUUUCACGAUCCCGCUUUGGAAGGUUCCUGCUGCGUGCCGGCCAGAUAACCACAAUUUCGUUCAAUGAUUGACCUCGGCUCAGGUAGGGAUACCCGCUGAACUUAA